AACAGCUCAAAUUUGAAAUCUGGCCCCCUUGCGGGGUCCGAGUUGUAAUUUGCAGAGGAUCUUUUGGCGAGGUGCCUUCCGAGUGCCUGGAACGGGCCGCCGCAGAGGGUGAGAGCCCCGUACGGUAGGACGCCGAGCCAGUGUAAAGCUCCCUCGACGAGUCGAGUAGUUUGGGAAUGCUGCUCUAAACGGGAGGUAAACCCCUUCUAAAGCUAAAUACCGGCCAGAGACCGAUAGCGCACAAGUAGAGUGAUCGAAAGAUGAAAAGCACUUUGAAAAGAGAGUCAAACAGCACGUGAAAUUGUUGAAAGGGAAGCGCUUGUGGCCAGACUUGCGCCCGGCGGCUCAGCCGUCCCUCUGGGCGGUGCACUCCGCCGGGCGCAGCCACAUCAGCUCGUGGCAGGGGAGAAAGGCGGCGGGAACGUGGCUCUUCGGAGUGUUAUAGCCCGCCGUCACGCCCUAACGCGGGCUGAGUACCGUCAAGGAUGCUGGGUAAUGGCAUCACGACCCGUCUUGAAACACGGACAAAGGAGUCGUCUACAUGCAAUGUUAGGUGAAAACCCUACCAAAUGAAAUGAACGGAGGUAACUUCGGGCAUCAUCGACGAACCGAGUUUCGGAGGAUUGAUAGACAUGUGGGCGGACCGAAAGAAGGGGAACUAUCU
rnacentral:rRNA from 1 species